rnacentral:lncRNA from 1 species
UCAACAAGUCAGUUUGGUGGACCCCCCUGGUGGGAAAAUGUGCUAUUGGUGGAUAUAUGGAAACCUAGUUUGGAAACCUAGUUAUGGAAACCUAGUUAUGGAAACCUAGUUAUGGAAACCUAGUUAUGGAAACCUAGUAGAAUAAUUAUUUUGAUAAAGAAAGUCCUUUUUUAACAACUAGGGCUACCGGUGGUACGGCGGGAGGUGUGGGGGAGGAGGAGAGAUGAUAAGUGGUCCGGUGAGAAUGCGAAUGGUGCUGAAAACUAAUGGUAGUAGGAUGAAGUUUGAACAGUAUAAAGCAAUCAGAAGAGAAAGCCCCGUUGAAACCACCUAGAAUGUAUUUGUUGCCACCCUACCUACGGUCCUGCACUACUCAUGAAGCAUAUUUAGAACUUUUAUUAUAAAAAAAACAUAAAAUACUGUCAAAUGCCAUCAUACCGUCAAAAAUGUUGACGAUAUCUCCCAGCCCUAGUUGGUGUCCCCCUCAGCCCUAGUUGGUGUCCCCCUCACCCUUUCCCCCAGGUUGGCUGCGUGUCUCCAGCUAUCAGGUGGCCAGGAAUGGCUCUACAUUGGGCUGUCAUCUACACGCCAUUAAGUUGCCUGAUGGGGAUACUGUGGUGCAAUCAACCGCUACAUGCAUGGAAGAGGGGAGGGAGGGAAGGGCAAAAAAAAAGAGCCGGAAAUAAGAGAAAAUCAGCCACAAAGGCCCUCGUUCCCUCUCCCUUUCUCUCUCUCAGACCCCCCACCACACCCGGUCGUUCUGACACAACAGGAAGGACUGGUUACAUAACCCUAUUGCCUCUGCCUCUAGCCUCCAUCUCUGACGUGCCAACCUGCCCUGGCUCCCUCCGUGCAGGCCAACAGUGGUGCGCUCCCGGCCGGCUCCCUCCGUGCAGGCAACAGUGGUGCGCUCCACGGCGGCUCCCUCCGUGCAGGCCAACAGUGGUGCGCUCCACACCGGCUCCCUCCGUGCAGGCCAACAGUGGUGCGCCCACAGCCGGCUCCCUCCGUGCAGGCCAACAGUGGUGCGCUCCACAGCCGGCUCCCUCCGUGCCGCCCAACAGCUGUUACCGUAAAGUAGGUUUUGGCUUUUCUAGGGCAUUGUAGAUGAGCAUAAGCAUCUGUCUGUGGUUCCAAAGGAUCAAAGGUUGCAUGUUCGAAUCCAGUGAUAUAUAAAGUUGUUUUUAUUUUUGUUUUAAAGCCUAUGCCAAACCUUAAUCGUUGCAUGAACCAUUCAGAUGAAU